UCAGUGUCACUGCUUGACCAGUAGAUGGAGCCAUUUGCUGUUGCUGCCUCCUGGUGGCUUUGAAGGAAGCACAGAGAGCUCGGUUUUAUGAAAAUAUAUGCUAAUAGUUAAAUGGAUUUACUUACUGAAAUGCCCAUCAUGCAUUGCUGUUAAUACUGACACACAGUCAGUGUCUGCACACUCUGCAUCUGAUACCAUGAGAGACAAUCUGAAAUGAGUAAUGCAACAUUUAAACAAAUAAAAACAUAUCUAUCACUUAGUAAUCCCACUUUAUAAGUCUCAUAUGUUAUAAAUGAAGAUGAUCUAACUGCAGUGCAGUAGAGCACGCUCAAAAUGAGGAAGAUGGGAGACCAGUUUGGCGACUGCAGACAGUAGCCUAUUUAAAAUCACGUGAGCUGCUAGCUGCUGCAUAACAGUUCAGUGCUGCGUUAGUGUUCUUCUUUUCCUGUCAAGACAGGACACCAUUCAAGACAACAGCUGCAAACGCUAAUUAACCCGAAGAUGACACACACAUCACAUCAUCUUUCCUUGCUCCUGUUGAUCAUGAUUCCUGGAACACUACUCCCCUUUGGCACGCUGGCCAUCCAUGUAGUAGCUCAAAGGGUGAAGUACCAGGCGUGCGGUGUUUGUAUGGUCUACGUGCAAACAGUCAGUCACAACUGGUUCCCAUGGCUUGUGUUGCCGAUUGGCCAACUGAACAGUCUGUUUGAGCACUCUGUUAAAUAUCUCUAUUGCCCCAUUGGCCGCCGGAUAGUAGAGAGAGAAUCUUUGAGGAGGGAUGUGUUUUCCUUCUAAGAAAACAGCAAAGACUACGGAGGUGAACUUGUUAAAUGGGUGUUGGGUUGGUAAAUAAUGGUAGGACUGUAUGAGGAAUGAUGUAUUUAAGAAGGGUGUCUCACUGGGGUGUCGAUCAGAACACAAAAGAGUCGAUGCAAUUCAAUCCAGCACUUUACUUGAGGUGUUGAAUGAUUUACACAGCACAGCAAGCACAAUAAGGUACACUGGUUGU